AUUGAACGCUGGCGGCAGGCCUAACACAUGCAAGUCGAACGAGUGGCGGACGUGUGAUUAAUGACUGGGCAACUGCCCGAUGGAGGGGGAUAACUACUGGUAACGGUAGCUACUACCGCAUAGCAUCGGAUGUACCCAGAUGGGAUGAGCUAGUGGGUGGGGUAACGGCUCACCGAGGCGACGAUCCCUUGCUGGUCUGAGAAGAUGACCAGCCACACGGUGACUGAGUCACGGUCCAGACUCCUACGGGAGGCAGCAGUGGGGAAUAUUGCACAAUGGGCGCAAGCCUGAUGCAGCCAUCCCGCGUGUAUGAAGAAGGCCUUCGGGUUGUAAAGUACUUUCAGCGGGGAGGCGUUACCCGCAGAAGAAGCACCGGCUAACUCCGUGCCAGCAGCCGCGGUAAUAC
rnacentral:rRNA from 1 species